ACCGGCGGCUCGAGUGGUGGCCACUAUUACUGGGCUUAAAGCGUUCGUAGCUGGCUGGGGAAGGGAGAGGGGAAAUAAACCGGCUCAACCGGAAGGCGUCUCAGGGAUACUGGCAGGCUAGGGACCGGAAGAGGUGAGAGGUACUCCAGGGGUAGGAGUGAAAUCCUGUAAUCCUUGGGGGACCACCUGUGGCGAAGGCGUCUCACCAGGACGGCUCCGACAGUGAGGAACGAAAGCUGGGGGAGCAAACCG
rnacentral:rRNA from 1 species